rnacentral:rRNA from 1 species
AGAGCGAACGCUGGCGGCAGGCCUAACACAUGCAAGUCGAGCGCCCGUAGCAAUACGGGAGCGGCAGACGGGAUAGUAACACGUGGGAACGCGCCCUUCGGUUCGGAAUAACUCAGGGAAACUUGAGCUAAUACCGAACACGCCCUUACGGGGAAAGAUUUAUUGCCGAAGGAACGGCCCGCGUCCGAUUAGCUAGUUGGUGAGGUAAUGGCUCACCAAGGCUACGAUCGGUAGCUGGUCUGAGAGGAUGACCAGCAUCACUGGGACUGAGACACGGCCCAGACUCCUACGGGAGGCAGCAGUGGGGAAUAUUGGACAAUGGGCGCAAGCCUGAUCCAGCCAUGCCGCGUGGAUGAUGAAGGCCUUAGGGUUGUAAAGUCCUUUUAACGGGGAAGAUAAUGACGGUACCGUAGAAUAAGCCCCGGCUAACUUCGUGCCAGCAGCCGC